UUGACUGGGGCGGUCGCCUCCCAAAAGGUAACGGAGGCGCUCAAAGGUUCUCUCAGUACGGUCGGAAAUCGUACGUAGAGUGUAAAGGCAAAAGAGAGCUUGAUUGCAAGACAUACAGGUCGAGCAAGGAUGAAAAUCGGACUUAGUGAUCCGGUGGUUCUGCGUGGAAGGGCCAUCGCUCAACGGAUAAAAGCUACCCUGGGGAUAACAGGCUUAUCUCCCCCAAGAGUCCACAUCGACGGGGAGGUUUGGCACCUCGAUGUCGGCUCAUCACAUCCUGGGGCUGUAGUAGGUCCCAAGGGUUGGGCUGUUCGCCCAUUAAAGUGGUACGCGAGCUGGGUUCAGAACGUCGUG
rnacentral:rRNA from 1 species